GACGAACGCUGGCGGCGUGCCUAAUACAUGCAAGUCGAGCGGACAGAAGGGAGCUUGCUCCCGGAUGUUAGCGGCGGACGGGUGAGUAACACGUGGGUAACCUGCCUGUAAGACUGGGAUAACUCCGGGAAACCGGAGCUAAUACCGGAUAGUUCCUUGAACCGCAUGGUUCAAGGAUGAAAGACGGUUUCGGCUGUCACUUACAGAUGGACCCGCGGCGCAUUAGCUAGUUGGUGAGGUAACGGCUCACCAAGGCGACGAUGCGUAGCCGACCUGAGAGGGUGAUCGGCCACACUGGGACUGAGACAGGCCCAGACUCCUACGGGAGGCAGCAGUAGGGAAUCUUCCGCAAUGGACGAAAGUCUGACGGAGCAACGCCGCGUGAGUGAUGAAGGUUUUCGGAUCGUAAAGCUCUGUUGUUAGGGAAGAACAAGUGCAAGAGUAACUGCUUGCACCUUGACGGUACCUAACCAGAAAGCCACGGCUAACUACGUGCCAGCAGCCGCGGUAAUACGUAGGCGGCAAGCGUUGUCCGGAAUUAUUGGGCGUAAAGGGCUCGCAGGCGGUUUCUUAAGUCUGAUGUGAAAGCCCCCGGCUCAACCGGGGAGGGUCAUUGGAAACUGGGAAACUUGAGUGCAGAAGAGGAGAGUGGAAUUCCACGUGUAGCGGUGAAAUGCGUAGAGAUGUGGAGGAACACCAGUGGCGAAGGCGACUCUCUGGUCUGUAACUGACGCUGAGGAGCGAAAGCGUGGGGAGCGAACAGGAUUAGAUACCCUGGUAGUCCACGCCGUAAACGAUGAGUGCUAAGUGUUAGGGGGUUUCCGCCCCUUAGUGCUGCAGCUAACGCAUUAAGCACUCCGCCUGGGGAGUACGGUCGCAAGACUGAAGCUCAAAGGAAUUGACGGGGGCCCGCACAAGCGGUGGAGCAUGUGGUUUAAUUCGAAGCAACGCGAAGAACCUUACCAGGUCUUGACAUCCUCUGACAACCCUAGAGAUAGGGCUUUCCCUUCGGGGACAGAGUGACAGGUGGUGCAUGGUUGUCGUCAGCUCGUGUCGUGAGAUGUUGGGUUAAGUCCCGCAACGAGCGCAACCCUUGAUCUUAGUUGCCAGCAUUCAGUUGGGCACUCUAAGGUGACUGCCGGUGACAAACCGGAGGAAGGUGGGGAUGACGUCAAAUCAUCAUGCCCCUUAUGACCUGGGCUACACACGUGCUACAAUGGACAGAACAAAGGGCUGCGAGACCGCAAGGUUUAGCCAAUCCCACAAAUCUGUUCUCAGUUCGGAUCGCAGUCUGCAACUCGACUGCGUGAAGCUGGAAUCGCUAGUAAUCGCGGAUCAGCAUGCCGCGGUGAAUACGUUCCCGGGCCUUGUACACACCGCCCGUCACACCACGAGAGUUUGCAACACCCGAAGUCGGUGAGGUAACCUUUAUGGAGCCAGCCGCCGAAGGUGGGGCAGAUGAUUGGGGUG
rnacentral:rRNA from 1 species